UGCCUAAGGCAGCACUAGAACUCCCAGUCUCCUUGUGACUUGUCCCUAAGUCACCCAACCGACUUUCAUGCCUAAGGCAGGACUAGAACUCUCAGUCUCCUAGUGAUUGGCUCAAAGUCACCCAGCUGGCUUUCGUGCAGUGGUCAUUUCUCUUGUUCCAAUGACAAAACUUUUAAGCUUCGAUUAGUGACGUUCUGGGUGUCUCUUUUUCCCCCAGUCUGAGGAAGAAUCCUGCUGAACGAAUGAGCUACUUAGAGAUGAUGGAUCAUCCCUUCUUCACUCUCCACGACACCAAAGUGACCGAGAUGGCUUCUUUCGUCACGGAAAUCCUCGGGGAAGACUCUUAAAAUUUCUCCCCCACCGUCUCUCCCUCCCUCCCCUCCCCUCCCCACUCCCGACCUCGCCCAUCGUGCCAAAUAAACUGGAGUAGCAUCGCCUUCCUUUCUCCCGGCGGGAAGAACUGAGGCAGUUUGGAAAAUUUCUUCGCGUUACCGGCGGUUUGCACAAAACAGAUCGAAUGUCUUUCGUCGGCCACGUCGCUCAGCCCCCCAUUGAACCUCCUCUUCCACGUCUUCAAAAGAGAGAGAGAGAGGGGUGGGUGUGGCGGCUGGGGUAGCCCCCCCCACUUGUCUGCGCGAAGAAAUCUUAAUUUCGGAGCGCCGUUCGCGGGGACCUGACGUCGGUCCAUGAAAACACUUCACUGCCCUUCCUAGCUGCCGAGGUUGAAUUUUCGCGUGUUCCCCGUAGUAAAUCUCCCCCCCACCCCUUCCUCAAAAAACAACAACACCCCUCUGCAACCGUGGACAUUCAGAAUUUUUCUAGACAAUGCAAAACUUUCCAUCCCCCAUCAAGAGAUACCCACGGAUGACGCUGCUAAGAAGAAGAUUUAUGUCGGCUUUUGAACGCUUUGCAAUUUCCUCUCCCCUCCCCCCCCAAAUUUUUUUUGUCUGUAGAAAACCGAGAAGGUUUUAGUAGUUUCUGGAAGUAGGUGUUCUGUCUUUUUUGCGAUUCUCUUUCUCUUUUUUUCAAAACUCUGCAGUUUUUAAAGUUUUCCCUCGAUUUUAGCAAAAUUUAAGAUGGCGGAGGAUUUUCAAUGCCCAGAGUUCUUCAAAAGCACGCUGCUGGCCUGGGUGGGGGGAGUUCUGGGAGAUGAAGUCCACAGAUUAUAAUGCUAAAAAGCUAUUCUGGAGGAAAAAAAUUCCCAUUUCCCUCCCCUUCCCUCCAAAAAAAAACCCCCCUUCUGGAAAGAUUUUACAGCCCAAUUUUAUGGCUCCUGUCGCUGGAUUACAAAGUUCCUACCCACCCUCAUUUUGUCGCCUCUUUCCAAUGUUUCCCGCAACAAAAUUCGUAUACGACGAUGACAUUUGCUGCUUUCGGUUUUGGCAACCCCGAAGAUCACACGUCUUUUCAAAACUCCCUUGUGCUUUUUCAACAUUCAGAUGUUUUGAUGUACGUUUUCACCUUUUAAAAGAAGCCCCUAACCCCAAAACGUUCAGCUAUUGUGCGGGGGUCUCGUCUCUGGAUACAUCGCUGGAGGUAGAAAAUGUUAAUUAAAAAAUGAUGUAGCCCCCCCCCCCUCUCCCCAUUGGGUUUCAAGAGAUGGAUUUAGGUGGCGUGCUUGAACUGCAAUGAAAUUGGGAAGAAUUGUUGAUGCGGGGAGUUGAUUCCUCAAAUCUCGUCCUUUGCUGGACUGUUGGAAGUAGGAAGUUCACCUAGAAGUUGAAGGAUCUACCUUACCUUAAGUUCAGAUUCCCCACCACUCCUUAGCUGCAAGACGGGUCCAUCAGAAGCUCACCUCCCUGUCCACCGGCCCUCCACGAAAUCUAGGUUCUACACACUUUUGUUCUUCAAAAGUUUAGCCUGCUGUGUGAACUCAACGGUGAAUGAAUUGUCCAUGGUUACCUUCACCAAGUCCAAGCUUUCAACCAUCACAUUGAAGCUGAUGAGAUUCUGACCCAAGAUCUAUCCAUCAUGGUUUAGGAGCUACAAGACCUGGAUUCACACCCGUGCACCGCAACUUGGCUUGUGCGUGGAGUUGGCCAUGCAAGAAGCAUGGUGAUUGAUGGCUUUUUCUGCCUGAUGGAGAACAUCUGGAUUGAUGUGCUUCUUGCACCGAGCCCAUUUCUGUUGGAUAAUCUAUAUUUUUUCUUCUGCAGGGGAUAAAAAAAACAAACCCCUAGGAACAUUGGUGUGUGAAUGAUUCUUAAAAGAGGGAACCAAAUGAAAUAUUUUUUCCUCACCUCCGAAGAUCUCUAAACAAUGUAGAGAAUUCUUCCAUUUUGAUAGAUUUGCUUGUAGGAAAAUGUUCUCUUCCCUACCGCUACCCAAAAGCAAAUAUUACCAGUGGCUUAAUUCACACUUUUUGUUUUACGAUAAAUUCUUUCCCAUCCUCUCCUAGCCCCCCCACAAAAUGAAAUUAUCUUUAAGUGUGUGUACAUGUUUGUGUAAAGGACGAAUAGAUGCAGAAGAGGCUUGGAGGAAGCACCAGCAUGUGCAAUGUGCAGGAGAAUGUUAAAACGCAGAAUCAAAAGAAAAAGGGGGAAGUCCAUUUUAAGGACAUUGGAAAGGGUUGCAUUAUGUCAGAAGUGUAUGAAUCAGAUGCUGAACAACAUUUAUUUUAUUCAUCCGGUCUGAAGAAAUAGCCUUAGUCAUCUCAAGCUACGACUCGAUCUCCACUCAUAGCCAUUUUCACUGGAGGUUGAAUGCGUUGCUAGUCCCUGUUGGUCCCUUAAACUAUCUCAGCCUUGGGGGAUGUAAGGGAUGGGACUUGAUCCCUCCUUCUGCAAAGAUGAUUUUAAGAAUAAGUUUCCCAAAUUUCGUCAGCUUUGAAAGAGGCUGGUGAUCUGUCACCCCAAUACUAACCAAACCGAAAUAAUAUAAUGUUUUCCAGGUCCAGCUGUCGGUCAGUUGCCUGCUUCUAAGGGUUUUUU